CGCGGCCUAUCAGCUUGUUGGUGGGGUAGUGGCUUACCAAGGCUUUGACGGGUAGCCGGCCUGAGAGGGUGACCGGCCACAUUGGGACUGAGAUACGGCCCAGACUCCUACGGGAGGCAGCAGUGGGAAAUAUUGCACAAUGGGCGGAAGCCUGAUGCAGCAACGCCGCGUGCGGGAUGACGGCCUUCGGGUUGUAAACCGCUUUCGCCUGUGACGAAGCGUGAGUGACGGUAAUGGGUAAAGAAGCACCGGCUAACUACGUGCCAGCAGCCGCGGUGAUACGUAGGGUGCGAGCGUUGUCCGGAUUUAUUGGGCGUAAAGGGCUCGUAGGUGGUUGAUCGCGUCGGAAGUGUAAUCUUGGGGCUUAACCCUGAGCGUGCUUUCGAUACGGGUUGACUUGAGGAAGGUAGGGGAGAAUGGAAUUCCUGGUGGAGCGGUGGAAUGCGCAGAUAUCAGGAGGAACACCAGUGGCGAAGGCGGUUCUCUGGGCCUUUCCUGACGCUGAGGAA
rnacentral:rRNA from 1 species